rnacentral:rRNA from 1 species
UACGGAAGGCAGCAGGGGGAAUAUUGCACAAUGGGCGCAAGCCUGAUGCAGCCAUGCCGCGUGUAUGAAAAGGCCUUCGGGUUGUAAAGUACUUUCAGUCGUGAGGAAGGUGUUAAGGUUAAUAACCUUAGCAAUUGACGUUAGCGACAGAAGAAGCACCGGCUAACUCCGUGCCAGCAGCCGCGGUAAUACGGAGGGUGCGAGCGUUAAUCGGAAUUACUGGGCGUAAAGGGCACGCAGGCGGUUAAUUAAGUUGGAUGUGAAAUCCCCGGGCUUAACCUGGGAAUGGCAUUCAAGACUGGUUAGCUAGAGUCUUGUAGAGGGGGUAGAAUUCCAUGUGUAGCGGUGAAAUGCGUAGAGAUGUGGAGGAAUACCGGUGGCGAAGGCGGCCCCUGGACAAAGACUGACGCUCAUGUGCGAAAGCUGGGGAGCAAACAGGGAUUAGAUACC